rnacentral:rRNA from 1 species
UACAGAGGGGGCCAGCGUUAUUCGGAAUUAUUGGGCGUAAAGGGCGCGUAGGCGGCUUUGCGUGUCUUUCGUGAAAUCCCUCGGCUCAACUGAGGACGUGCGGAAGAAACUGCAGGGCUGGAGUCCGGGAGAGGAGGGUGGAAUUCCCAGUGUAGCGGUGAAAUGCGUAGAUAUCUGGAGGAACACCGGUGGCGAAGGCGGCAUCCUGGACCGACACUGACGCCGAGGAGCGAAAGCCAGGGGAGCAAACGGG